GACGAACGCUGGCGGCGUGCUUAACACAUGCAAGUCGAGCGAUGAAGCACCUUCGGGUGUGAAUUAGCGGCGAACGGGUGAGGAACACGUGAGAAAUCUGCCUUCAACUCUGGGAUAACUCCGGGAAACCGGGGCUAAUACCGGAUAUGAGCCUUGAUCGCAUGAUCGGGGCUGGAAAGUUUUUCGGUUGAAGAUGAUCUCGCGGCCUAUCAGCUUGUUGGUGAGGUAAUGGCUCACCAAGGCGACGACGGGUAGCCGGCCUGAGAGGGCGACCGGCCACACGGGGACUGAGACACGGCCCAGACUCCUACGGGAGGCAGCAGUGGGGAAUAUUGGGCAAAGGAGGAAACUCUGACCCAGCGACGCCGCGUGAGGGAUGAAGGCCUUCGGGUUGUAAACCUCUUUCAGUAGGGAAGAAGCGAAAGUGACGGUACCUACAGAAGAAGCACCGGCUAACUAUAUGCCAGCAGCCGCCGUAA
rnacentral:rRNA from 1 species